CGACCCGCCUUCCGACGCCGUCUGCAGCAGGUGCCCAUAAAUCCCGGAGCCUGGGGCCCCGGCCAGAGCUGCGGAGCCCGAGGAGGACCUGGUGGCUUCCCCGCGCGGCGAGGGCAGCGGGUCCCGGUUUCAGUCAGAAUAUGGCUCCCAACAUGAAGUCAGCCAAGAAAUUACUCGUUUUCUUAGGGAAAUCAGUAUUUAGUCUUCUGGAGACUGCGAUUUUCACCUUAAUCCCAAAGCCAAGGAAGGAUGUCGCUGGUGAAAUCGUACUCAUAACUGGUGCUGGGAGUGGACUCGGAAGGCUCUUAGCCCUUCAGUUUGCCCGCCUUGGAGCUGUGCUUGUUCUCUGGGACAUCAACACGGAGGGAAAUGAGGAGACGUGCAAGAUGGCUCAGGACGCUGGAGCCACAAGAGCCUAUGCCUACACCUGUGACUGCAGUAGAAAGGAAGAGGUGUAUCGAGUAGCCGACCAGGUUAAAAAAGAAGUCGGUGACAUUUCCAUCCUAAUCAACAAUGCUGGCAUCGUAACAGGCAAAAACUUCCUCAACUGCCCAGAUGAGCUUAUGGAAAAGUCUUUUGAUGUGAAUUUCAAAGCGCAUUUGUGGACUCAUAAAGCCUUUCUACCAGCCAUGAUUGCUAAUGCCCAUGGACACUUGGUCUGCAUUGCAAGUUCAGCUGGAUUAGUUGGAGUAAACGGGCUAGCAGAUUACUGUGCAAGUAAAUUUGCAGCCGUUGGAUUUGCUGAAUCUGUUUUAAUGGAACUAUUUGCCCAGAAAAUAAAGGGGAUCAAGACCACAAUUGUGUGUCCAUUUUUUAUUAAAACUGGAAUGUUUGAAGGUUGUACUACUGGCUGUCCUUCUUUGUUACCGAUUUUGGAACCAGAAUAUGUAGUCAGAAAGAUAGUAGAUGCUAUCCUGCAAGAAAAAGUGUACUUGUAUAUACCAAGAUUUUUAUACAUCCUGAUGUUUUUAAAAAGUAGUCCCAGGAAGAAAGACGAAUGACCUCAUUUCACACUGGGAGAAACUGAGGCUCCCGAGCUCAGGAACUUACCUGAGAUGACCUUGUACAUAACAGAGCUGGGUUUCAAGCCAAGUUCCUCUGACUCCACUUCCAGCCCAUCAUUACAUCGUUUUCCUGCCCGUCAAGUUGGUACUGCUCAUAAAUGAAUUUAUAGGCGGCUUCAAUUUUAUGGAUCGCUUCGUUGGAAAGAAAAAGAACUAAUGACCAACUCUAUGGGUAAUGUCCUCUAAAACCCAAUAUCUAAAACCCAACAUACUGCUUAUGUCAAUAAAGAGAAGGAUUUUUGUCUGAUAAAAUAUAUCUGGGGACGAUAAGUACCGUUCUUGGUCUUCUAUCUGGACUAGAAUAUUCAGCCAAUACAUUUUGUAAAUAA